CCGCCUGCCAAUCAUCACCCUGUCUCUUAUUCUCAAAGACAACAUCUGUUUUGACUCAUGAUGGUUUAGUUCAUCUAUGCCUGCUAAAUUUCAUUUGAGACUAUUACGAAGAAUGCCGUUUGGAGUAUUCUUGUACGUGCCUCUUGGUGCACAUCUACAUACUCUUCUGUGGUAUAUAUCCAGGAGGGGUAUUGUUGGGAAGAAGGUAGGCAUAUGCUCUCCUUUAUAUAAUACAGCCAAAUGACUUUCCAAAGUAAUUGUAUCACUUACACACCCACCAGUGGAAUAUGAGAGUUCCAGUUGCUCCACAUCCUUGCCAAUAUUUGUAUUAUCAGUCUUUUAAAUUCUAGCUAUUCUGGUGGGUGUGUAGCGCUAUCUCAUUGUGGCUUUAAUUUGCAUUUCCCUGAUGACUCACACAGACUUUUUCGUGCUCUGCAAUUUUAAAGCAACUCUGCAUGUCUGUUUCAUUGCAAAUCGUUCCUCAGCUGUAUUGAGAUUUAAAAUCAACAACCAUUUAUUAAGUCCCUACCGUGAGUCAGUCUACAUACGUUAGAUGCCUCCAUGUGCCUGGCCUGAAGGUGGUGGUGAGAGAGUUUUUUUCUGGACUAAGUGGUUUCUGGUCAGUCCUGCUGGUUUCGCUCUAGGAUAUAUUAUCACUGACAUUGUGGAGAGAGCGCUUCCGGGAAAAGAAUGUCCCAGCAGGGCUGGGGGCAGC
rnacentral:lncRNA from 1 species